UCUAUUCACUAUUACAAAAACAGCAUGGGAAAAUUCCGCCUCUAUGAUUCAGUUACCUCCCACUUGGUCCCUCCCAAGACAUGUGGGGAUUAUUACAAUUCAUUGGGAAGAGCAGUGAUUUAUCUGUUUGACAUGUUGAAGAGUCUGAUAUUCAUCGAUCCAUAUUUUUCCAGUGGUCAGGAUUAACACACUAAACACUGUGCAACAAGAAUUGCCGCAGUCUUGAAGAUAUGAACCAAGACAAUUGUGAA
rnacentral:lncRNA from 1 species